GUCAUUUUUUGACAUUUAAGUCAACGAAUGUAGGAACUUCCGCUGAAACUUUCUUUCGUUCUCAAGUCGUCUUCGAGUUAAGAAGGAAAAUGAGAGCUAAGUGGCGUAAGAAGCGUAUGCGUAGGUUGAAGCGUAAGCGCAGAAAGAUGCGUGCAAGGUCCAAAUAAGCUGUGAAUCUGGAAAUGACCACAUCAUAUAUACGAUAAUUCCUUGGUAUUACGUACAAAAACAACCUUUUUAAGCAGCUUCAAGUCAUCAAUUUUUUUGGACUAUCCCAUUCUUCAUGCUGUUUGGUGUGUGUGAUGGUCAUGUCCAAGUUUGGCCAACUGAUUCGCAAAAUUUUCCAUGAAAGUUUGUGAAACAUGUUUAAAGAAUAAAGAAAAUCUUUGGAUUUUUGCUUGAAGUGAAA